UGUUUCUAUAUAAAAUUUCUUGGAAUAGGAGGGAGAGAAACAAAUGUCGGAGCAAAUGUUAGCUUUUGCCUUCCUUGUUUUGUCAAUCAUCAUCACCGUCUUCUACUUUCCAAUUUCCAGAGGCAAACAACCGCCACCACCGUCACCACCACCAUUCAUGGCGGCAGACUGGACUCAACUCCCUAAAGAUCUUCUACAAUUCAUAUCCGAAAAACUCAACAGCGAAUUCUAUCAACUCCGAUUUCGUUCCGUUUGUUCAUCAUGGCGUUCUUCCGUUCCCAAAAAUCAUCAUCACCAUCUCAAUUUACCUUCCAAAUUCCCAACCCCUUCCAAUUCCAACAACAUCGAUGAUCAUUCCAAUUCCAAUUCCAACAACAACAACGCUUCCACAUUCCCUCUCUCCAAACGAACCUUAUUCCUCAUCACUCCACCCCCAAAUCAACAAACCCUACAACCUUGGUUAAUCAAAAUUGGUCCAGAUUCACAUGACCUAAUUCAUCUCUGGCAUCCUCUCUCACGUGACAAACAAUUCCCUCUUCAUUCCCCUCACGUGAUCGAUUUCAACCAUCUCUCUGUCAUCGAUCUCGGUCGCGAAUUCGUCAUCGGUCAAUUCCCUUCUCAAUCUCCUCUCUUUAUCAACGACAACACCUCACUCUACAUGGAAAAACUCGUUGUUUAUGACACGUGUCAUAGCGGAAAUGAAAAUGAUCCUUGUUCUGUUCUCCUCACUAUUCAUGUUUCCGGGAAACUUGCUAUUUUCCGAUGUGGUGAUGAGCAGUGGACGAUAAUUCCUGAAAUGCCGACGAUGUUUUAUGACGAUGUCUGUGUUUUUAAUGGGCGGCCUAUUGCAGUUGAUGGUACUGGUCGGACUGUUGCAGUGGAACCGGAUUUAAGUUUGGAUUUGGUGGCGGAGGCUGAGGCUGUGUUUGGGGGAGAUAAGAAAUUUUUAGUGGAGAGUGAUGGUGAAUUGUUACUGGUGGAUAAAUAUUUAUCUUGUCUUGGGAAUUAUAGUUUGGAUGAUGGAGAAACAGGUAAUGAUAUUGUAGCAGAGAGAGCUGUGAAAUUUGAUGUGUUUAGGCUUGAUGAGAAGGAGAAGAAGUGGGUGGAGGUGAGAAAUUUGGGGGAUAGGGUUUUGUUUUUGGGGGAAGAUUGUGUUUUUUCUUCUAAAUGUAAUGGCAAUGGGAAUUGUGUGAUAUUUAUGGAUCGCAAUUGUCAUUCAACUGAGUUUGGGAUUAGUGUUUUUCACUUGGAUCAACGUCGGAUCUCACCUUUGUCUGAUUUCCCUUGUUAUUCCAAGUUGUUUUGGCCACCUCCGGAAUGGGUUGGGUUGCGUGUCGACAACAACAGAGCAUUAAUCUUGGAUUGAAAGGUUCAUACUAAGAAAUUUAGUUCAUGGUUGUGAGGGAUUAAGGUUGUCUAAGCGCAUAUGAUUUCUGCUACUUAUCCAUUUUCCACGUAAGCCAGAAAAAACUCCUUUUUUCCAUGUUUCUGUCAAUGGAACAAUAAGCUCUACCGUAUGAUUAAGAGAAAGAGUACAUGUGCAGGCUGUGAAGGAGCCCUUUGAUGCAACUUUCGGCAAUACUGCAGAUGAUUGUGUCCAUAGACAUCGGAGAAUGCUUCUGUUUUUAUUUAUUUAUUUUCUUGUAUAGUAUUGAUGUAUAGGCCCAGUCAAUUAACAAGAUAAUAACUCCAUCAUUCUUCUUAUUACAAUACAAUUAUACAACAUUAGGUGAUGUUAAGCUUUUCUUUUUCGUUUGAAUUUAUUGAAUAUAUUUCUUUUUUAAUGUAAA